rnacentral:rRNA from 1 species
CACGUAGGGUGCGAGCGUUGUCCGGAAUUAUUGGGCGUAAAGAGCUCGUAGGCGGUGUGUCGCGUCGGCCGUGAAAACCUGCAGCUUAACUGUGGGCUUGCGGUCGAUACGGGCAUCACUGGAGUGCGGUAGGGGAGACUGGAAUUCCUGGUGUAGCGGUGAAAUGCGCAGAUAUCAGGAGGAACACCGGUGGCGAAGGCGGGUCUCUGGGCCGUAACUGGACGCUGAGGAGCGAAAGCAUGGGGAGCGAACAGG